UACGGAGGGUGCAAGCGUUGCUCGGAAUUAUUGGGCGUAAAGGGUAGGUAGGUGGUCUCAUUUGUCUGGGGUGAAAGCCUUGAGCUUAACUCAAGAAGUGCCCCAGAAACGGUGAGACUAGAGUCUUGGAGAGGGUCGUGGAAUUCCCGGUGUAGCGGUGAAAUGCGUAGAGAUCGGGGGGAACACCAGAGGCGAAGGCGGCGACCUGGACAAGUACUGACACUCAACUACGAAAGCGUGGGGAGCAAACAGG
rnacentral:rRNA from 1 species